rnacentral:rRNA from 1 species
CCGAACCGACUAAUGUUGAAAAAUUAGCGGAUGACCUGUGGCUGGGGGUGAAAGGCCAAUCAAACCGGGAGAUAGCUGGUUCUCCCCGAAAGCUAUUUAGGUAGCGCCUCGUGAAUUCAUCUCCGGGGGUAGAGCACUGUUUCGGCUAGGGGGCCAUCCCGGCUUACCAACCCGAUGCAAACUGCGAAUACCGGAGAAUGUUAUCACGGGAGACACACGGCGGGUGCUAACGUCCGUCGUGAAGAGGGAAACAACCCAGACCGCCAGCUAAGGUCCCAAAGUCAUGGUUAAGUGGGAAACGAUGUGGGAAGGCCCAGACAGCCAGGAUGUUGGCUUAGAAGCAGCCAUCAUUUAAAGAAAGCGUAAUAGCUCACUGGUCGAGUCGGCCUGCGCGGAAGAUGUAACGGGGCUAAACCAUGCACCGAAGCUGCGGCAGCGACACUGUGUGUUGUUGGGUAGGGGAGCGUUCUGUAAGCCUGCGAAGGUGGCCUGUGAGGGUUGCUGGAGGUAUCAGAAGUGCGAAUGCUGACAUAAGUAACGAUAAAGCGGGUGAAAAGCCCGCUCGCCGGAAGACCAAGGGUUCCUGUCCAACGUUAAUCGGGGCAGGGUGAGUCGACCCCUAAGGCGAGGCCGAAAGGCGUAGUCGAUGGGAAACGGGUUAAUAUUCCCGUACUUGGUGUUACUGCGAAGGGGGGACGGAGAAGGCUAUGUUGGCCGGGCGACGGUUGUCCCGGUUUAAGCGUGUAGGCUGGUUUUCCAGGCAAAUCCGGAAAAUCAAGGCUGAGGCGUGA